rfam:Schistosoma mattheei strain Denwood, Zambia genome assembly, scaffold: SMTD_scaffold0010816
AUCUAGUCGAUGAGUCCCAAAUAAGACAAAACGCGCGUCUUGGAU